rnacentral:snRNA from 1 species
AGGCGCGUGCCCACCUGUUUCCUCACUGUGUUCCUCCCAGAGCUGCAUGCCUAGUUGAAGAUGACCUUCCCCAGUAGAGGAGGACCAGUUUGGGGUCAAGCUUACACAAGCAACUGCAUCUUCCUGCUACAACAUCUAAACACACUCUGAAUAAGCCCAUGCGUUCCCAAUCUCCUCUGACAGGUCUGUAGAGAGAACCUUGUCUGUCUGUCUCACAGGUGGUAGCGUCUAGGU